rnacentral:lncRNA from 1 species
ACAAUGCAAGCUUUGUUCUGAAAAAGAAUCUCAUAGAUUUUAUAGGCUCUAGAAGGAGAGUGACAUUCCAAUUUUCUCCCAAUUCUAUUGGAAGGUCAAUCUUAAAUGCUGUAUAGGAGGAUCUCAUUGAGAAGAUAUCAUUUGAGCAAAGAUGUAAAGCAAGGGAGGGAAUGAGUCAGUGGCUACAUAGCGAGAGUGUCCUAGGCAGAGGAAACAGCUUCUACAAAAGCCCUGAAGCAAGAGAAUGUUUGAAGUGUUCAAGAAUAAACAGGAGAUGCAGAAUGAAUGGAAUUGAGAGUGAGUGAGGCAGUCGGAUACAAGAGAGACUAAUAUGGGGCAGCACUGAAGACUGCUGACAGCAGCCACAUGAGUGAGCUCAGAGUGGACACAACAGCCCCUUCAGAGGCUGCAGGGAUGGCAGACAGCCUGACUGCAAUGUCGUGAAAGAUGCUGAGGCAGAACCAUGCAGCAAAGUCAUUCCCAGAUUCCUGACUCUCAGAAAAUGUCCCAGGCUUCCUGAUAUCAACAUCAUCCAAGGUGACUUUCUGGAAUAAAAGAGGAAUGUGAGAACAUCUGGUAGGGGAUGGCUCAAUAAAGAAAAAGUACAGGGAAUACCCAGCAGCCAAUCUGAAACUGCCAUUCAUAAAGAACUCAUCACAUAGGGAAAGGGCAUAUGGAGUUAUUAAGAAAAAGAACAGAAAGAGUGGGGAAGCUGCAAAAAUGAGUCCUCUGUGUUCAGCCACGUUCC